CAGGGAUGUCAGCCCAGAUGGAUUCUGCUUCUACAUCAAUUUGUUUAACGAGAUUGAUCCCCAGAAUAUUUAUUCGCCAAAAACACAUGGACUAUACCACACUUGGAUCUCUGUGGCAAUGGCAGCACAUUGACACAAUUUUGAUUCAUGAAAAAGUGGAGUUCAGCUGACUGAACUUUGAUGUGACUUUUUGCCUGAAUGUUCCGCCGUGUUGUAUCUUAUUUACAAAUUACAAGGCAUAACGUUUUCAUCAUUUGGUUGAUCAAUGACUUCUGGUGUGCC